rnacentral:SRP_RNA from 1 species
UGUUGGUUCUCCCGCAACGCUACUCUGUUUACCAGGUCAGGUCCGGAAGGAAGCAGCCAGAGCAGACGACGUGUG